GAAGCGGAUUCUGCUCGCUUCCCACGAGCGCCCGCCGCAGCCGCCGCCGACGCCGCCCGGCAGCCGCAGCCGCCGCCCCCUCCCCCCGUCGCGUGGGAUCACGGCCCCGACCUCUCCGUCGCCACCCCCUCUCCUCCGUCGCAGCCCGUCGGCCCAUCGCGGGGACUCACGGCCCCGGCCUCUCCGUCGAACCCCCCCCCCUCUCCUCCGUCGCGGCCGCGAGCCGCCGCUCCUCCACCCGUCACGGGGCCCUGGCAUGUCCAUCCCAGCCGCGAGCCGCCGCCGCCCCCUCCCUCUAUCGCGGGGAUCGCUUGGAGAUUCACGGACCCGUCCCCUCCGUAGCGGGAAUCGGCUGGACUGCUGGAGCGUCGCUGGGAUCGCUGGGAGCAUCCAACCCCUACCUAACGAGUCCAUGUUGCCUCCUUCAAUCGCUUUUGUGGCCGUCCAUUAUGACCCAGCUAGCUGCUCUGGUAAAUUCUCGGGUCUGUCGGUGCAUUGGCACAGCAUGGUUCAUUUGCGAAAGGAUGGCAGAUCAAUUUCAACUAGCUUGGUGAGCUCUGCAUCACCGUCAAUGUUCUCAACAGUGGCUACUUGCUUCGCUGUCAACGAUCCAUCGCAACGGCCUUUUAUGGGUGAAAUGGUGCAGACGCUGAAACGGAUUUACAAUGACGCAGAGGAUGCCGGCGGUGAUUCACACCCACAGGGAAUCAUCGUGUCAGACGAUGACCGAUAAUGGGGCUUCGUCUUUGACAGUGGCAAUGUGGUAGCUUGCGGUUCAUCUCUCAGAGUUGCUAGAUGUUAAAUUACUAUUAGGUCGUGCUAUAACUUGUACUGAAUUUACAGAAGAUGGCAUGGUAGCUCAUGCUAUAACUUGUACCGAACUAUGAUAAAUUUCAAAAACACGUAAUAUUUCUUUGAAGGACAUAAUCACAUUAGUACUGCAUUUUCAUUUAUCAAGAAGACAGUAGCUACCAA